rnacentral:rRNA from 1 species
AAAUGGGUUCAUCCCCCCUGAACAAGCCCAAUCCCAUCUGAUCUUAGAAGCUAAGCAGGGUUGGGCCUGGUUAGUACUUGAAUGGGAGACCACCUAGGAAGACUAGGUGCUGUAGGCA